rnacentral:rRNA from 1 species
GUGAGGAAUUUUCCGCAAUGGGCGAAAGCCUGACGGAGCAAUGCCGCGUGAAGGAUGAAGGCCUAUGGGUUGUAAACUUCUUUUCUCAGAAAAGAAUUAUGACGGUAUCUGAGGAAUAAGCAUCGGCUAACUCUGUGCCAGCAGCCGCGGUAAGACAGAGGAUGCAAGCGUUAUCCGGAAUGAUUGGGCGUAAAGCGUCUGUAGGUUGUUUAAAAAGUAUUCUGUCAAAGAUUAGGGCUUAACCCUAGAUAGGCAGAAUAAACUUUUAAGCUAGAGUUUGGUAGAGGCAGAGGGAAUUCCCGGUGGAGCGGUGAAAUACGUAGAUAUCGGGAGGAACACCAAAGGCGAAGGCACUCUGCUGGGCCAAUACUAACACUGAGAGACGAAAGCGAGGGGAGCAAAUGGGAUUAGAUACCCUUGUAGUCC